rnacentral:rRNA from 1 species
GACGAACGCUGGCGGCGUGCUUAACACAUGCCAGUCGAACGGAAAGGCCCUGCUUUUGUGGGGUGCUCGAGUGGCGAACGGGUGAGAAACACGUGAGUAACCUGCCCUUGACUUUGGGAUAACUUCAGGAAACUGGGGCUAAUACCGGAUAGGAGCUCCUGCUGCAUGGUGGGGGUUGGAAAGUUUCGGCGGUUGGGGAUGGACUCGCGGCUUAUCAGCUUGUUGGUGGGGUAGUGGCUUACCAAGGCUUUGACGGGUAGCCGGCCUGAGAGGGUGACCGGCCACAUUGGGACUGAGAUACGGCCCAGACUCCUACGGGAGGCAGCAGUGGGGAAUAUUGCACAAUGGGCGGAAGCCUGAUGCAGCAACGCCGCGCGCGGGAUGACGGCCUUCGGGUUGUAAACCGCUUUCGCCUGUGACGAAGCGUGAGUGACGGUAAUGGGUAAAGAAGCACCGGCUAACUACGUG